AAACUUUUCUCCCUGGUGGAGCAACCACUUGCAUGAGCAUGAGAGGUUGUUCCCCAGGCCAUCAGACUCCAAACAGUCAUGCAACUGGAGCCUUUGAGGAUGACCCCUUCUGCCGGGGACCCUUAGGUCAGCCUCUAGAGAAGCUUUGACUGCUGUUUCCCCAAAACAGCGCCCCCUGCCAUCAGGAAGCAAAAGCCAUGUUGGUUCACCACAUGUAUCGCAUCCUGAUAAUGUGAAGUGAAAAAGUAGAGCCUGGAAGCCUUUGUAAGAUGACUGUGCCAGAGGAGGAAGAUAAAUAUCUCGAUGCUAUGGAGGCCUGUCAGCUCUUUGAAGUAUCUGGGCAAUAUCAAGAUUUCUACUUCAGAUGAAAAAACAAAUAGUUAUUCAUUGACCCUGAUGCUGCCAAGAAAGAGGUGAAAGGUGAGCCCCCAACCCACGGAAAGAUCCAGCCAAGUAAGGAACUGCAAAAUAUUGAAUGACUAAUUCUCCAAACAAGGAGAACAAGAAGAUUUACACUAGCCAUGCAAGGAAUCUUUGAAAGUCUAGCAGACCUGACUUGAAGAGAAGGCUCUAAAC
rnacentral:antisense_RNA from 1 species